rnacentral:rRNA from 1 species
UACGGAGGAUGCAAGCGUUAUCCGGAUUCAUUGGGUUUAAAGGGUGCGUAGGCGGAAUGAUCAGUCAGUGGUGAAAUCCCCCGGCUUAACCGGGGAACUGCCAUUGAUACUUUCAUUCUUGAGUACAGUUGAAGUGGGCGGAAUGAGUCAUGUAGCGGUGAAAUGCAUAGAUAUGACUCAGAACACCGAUAGCGAAGGCAGCUCACUAAGCUGUAACUGACGCUCAGGCACGAAAGCGUGGGGAGCAAACAGGAUUAGAUACCCCCGUA